rnacentral:rRNA from 1 species
GACGAACGCUGGCGGCGUGCUUAACACAUGCAAGUCGAACGGAAAGGCCCUGCUUUUGUGGGGUGCUCGAGUGGCGAACGGGUGAGUAACACGUGAGUAACCUGCCCUCGACUUUGGGAUAACUUCAGGAAACUGGGGCUAAUACCGGAUAGGAGCUCCUGCUGCAUGGUGGGGGUUGGAAAGUUUCGGCGGUUGGGGAUGGACUCGCGGCUUAUCAGCUUGUUGGUGGGGUAGUGGCUUACCAAGGCUUUGACGGGUAGCCGGCCUGAGAGGGUGACCGGCCACAUUGGGACUGGGAUACGGCCCAGACUCCUACGGGAGGCAGCAGUGGGGAAUAUUGCACAAUGGGCGGAAGCCUGAUGCAGCAACGCCGCGUGCGGGAUGACGGCCUUCGGGUUGUAAACCGCUUUCGCCUGUGACGAAGCGUGAGUGACGGUAAUGGGUAAAGAAGCACCGGCUAACUACGUG